rnacentral:rRNA from 1 species
AUUAAACGCUGGCGGCAUGCCUUACACAUGCAAGUCGAACGGUAGCGCGGGGCAACCUGGCGACGAGUGGCGAACGGGUGAGUAAAGCAUCGGAACGUGCCCUGGAAUGGGGGAUAACGUAGCGAAAGUUACGCUAAUACCGCAUAUUCUGUGAGCAGGAAAGCAGGGGAUCGCAAGACCUUGCGUUCUGGGAGCGGCCGAUGUCGGAUUAGCUAGUUGGUGGGGUAAAGGCCUACCAAGGCGACGAUCCGUAGCGGGUCUGAGAGGAUGAUCCGCCACACUGGGACUGAGACACGGCCCAGACUCCUACGGGAGGCAGCAGUGGGGAAUUUUGGACAAUGGGCGGAAGCCUGAUCCAGCCAUGCCGCGUGAGUGAAGAAGGCCUCGGUUGUAAGCUCUUUCAGCCGGAAAGAAACGACACGGGUUAAUAACCUAGUGUGGAGUGACGGUACCGGAAGAAGAAG